GACACGACUCUCGACAAUGGAUAUCUUGGCUCUUGCAUCGAUGAAGAGCGCAGCGAAAUGCGAUACGUGGUGCGAAUUGCAGAAUCCCGCGAACCAUCGAGUCUUUGAACGCAAGUUGCGCCCGAGGCCCGCAGGCUAAGGGCACGUCCGCCUGGGCGUCAAGC
rnacentral:rRNA from 1 species